rnacentral:lncRNA from 1 species
GAAUCCCAGGCUUGAACCAGGGAGGUGGAGGUUGCAGUGAGCCAAGAUUGCACCUCUGCACUUCAGCCUGGGUGACAGAGUGAGACCCUGUCUCAAGAAAAAAAAAAAAAAAAAACCGCAAAAAACUGAUGAGUAAUGCAAAGGAAGCAGGUGACUGAUUUUUUUUUUUCCUUUUCAUUUUUGGAAUUUUUAACAGGUUAGAUUGGAUCACAAUGGAAAAUUUUUGAAUGCAGAUGUUCAAGGAGUUCAUUCUGAGAAUGGACCAGUUUUGGUUGAAGAACUGGGAAAGAAGCACACAUCAAAGAACCUCAAGGCACCUCCCCCAGAAAGCUGGAACACAGUGUCAGGGAAGAAGAUGAAAAAACCUUCCACUUCUGGACAAAAUUUCCAUUCUGAUGUGGAUUACAGAGGGCCAAAGAAUCCAAGCAAGCCAAUAAAAGCCCCAUCAGCACUACCUCCUCGACUGCAGCAUCCUUCAGGAGUAAGACAACAUGCGUUCUCUAGUCAUUCUUCAGGGUCACAGUCUCAGAAAUUCUCCAGUGAGCACAAAAAUCUUAGCCGGACACCUUCACAGAUCAUAAGAAAACCUGAUCGUGAAAGAGUUGAGGAUUUUGAUCACACAAGUCGAGAAUCUAACUAUUUCGGCCUUUCCCCAGAAGAGCGCAGAGAGAAGCAAGCUAUAGAAGAAUCCCGUUUACUCUAUGAGAUUCAGAACAGAGAUGAACAGGCUUUCCCAGCCCUUUCCAGCUCAUCAGUCAGUCAGUCAGCUUCUCAGAGUAGCAAUCCAUGUGUCCAGAGAAAAUCAUCACAUGUAAGUGAUAGAAAAGGAAGCAGGCGGAGAAUGGAUACAGAAGAACGAAAAGACAAAGACAUGACUGGUGGCUUAUGCUGUCUUUUUUAAUCUUGAUCUGCUAUAGACUCUAUUCAUGGACAUAGUCAGUUGGAUAAAAGACCCGAACCAAGCACAUUGGAGAAUAUUACUGAUGAUAAAUAUGCAACAGUUUCAUCACCAUCAAAGUCAAAGAAGUUAGAGUGCCCUUCUCCUGCAGAACAAAAGCCAGCAGAAC